AGAGUUUGAUCCUGGCUCAGAGUGAACGCUGGCGGCAGGCCUAACACAUGCAAGUCGAACGGCAGCACAGCAGUAGCAAUACUGUGGGUGGCGAGUGGCGGACGGGUGAGGAAUACAUCGGAAUCUACCUUGUCGUGGGGGAUAACGUAGGGAAACUUACGCUAAUACCGCAUACGACCUACGGGUGAAAGCGGCGGACCGCAAGGCGUCGCGCGAUUGGAUGAGCCGAUGUCCGAUUAGCUAGUUGGCGGGGUAAUGGCCCACCAAGGCGACGAUCGGUAGCUGGUCUGAGAGGAUGAUCAGCCACACUGGAACUGAGACACGGUCCAGACUCCUACGGGAGGCAGCAGUGGGGAAUAUUGGACAAUGGGCGCAAGCCUGAUCCAGCCAUGCCGCGUGUGUGAAGAAGGCCUUCGGGUUGUAAAGCACUUUUGUCCGGAAAGAAAAGCAUCUGGUUAAUACCCGGGUGUUAUGACGGUACCGGAAGAAUAAGCACCGGCUAACUUCGUGCCAGCAGCCGCGGUAAUACGAAGGGUGCAAGCGUUACUCGGAAUUACUGGGCGUAAAGCGUGCGUAGGUGGUGAGUUAAGUCUGUCGUGAAAGCCCCGGGCUCAACCUGGGAAUGGCGAUGGAUACUGGCUCGCUAGAGUGCGGUAGAGGAGAGUGGAAUUCCCGGUGUAGCAGUGAAAUGCGUAGAGAUCGGGAGGAACAUCAGUUGCGAAGGCGGCUCUCUGGACCAGCACUGACACUGAGGCACGAAAGCGUGGGGGAGCAAACAGGAUUAGAUACCCUGGUAGUCC
rnacentral:rRNA from 1 species